rnacentral:pre_miRNA from 1 species
AGGAGGAACAACCGCAGUGUUGGCGGCCAGCUCUGGAGCCCUGGAUUCAGCUCCCACAGUAAGUAUAGAGCUCUCAGCCUGCAGCGGCCUGGAUGCUGCGGGGGCCG